rnacentral:rRNA from 1 species
UACGGAGGGUGCGAGCGUUGUCCGGAAUCAUUGGGCGUAAAGGGCGCGUAGGUGGCCCGGUCAGUUCGUGGUGAAAGCGCGGGGCUCAACUCCGCGUCGGCCAUGAAUACUGCUGGGCUUGAGCACUGUAGAGGCAGGCGGAAUUCCGGGUGUAGCGGUGGAAUGCGUAGAGAUCCGGAAGAACACCGGUGGCGAAGGCGGCCUGCUGGGCAGUAGCUGACACUGAGGCGCGACAGCGUGGGGAGCAGAACGAG